CAGCCGCCGCGGUAAUACCAGCCCCGCGAGUGGUCGGGACGGUUAUUGGGCCUAAAGCGCCCGUAGCCGGCCCGGCAAGUCCCUCCUUAAAGCCUCGGGCCCAACCCGAGGACGGGGGGGAUACUGCCGGGCUAGGGGGCGGGAGAGGCCGGCGGUACUCCCGGGGUAGGGGCGAAAUCCGUUAAUCCCGGGAGGACCACCAGUGGCGAGGGCGGCCGGCUGGAACGCGCCCGACGGUGAGGGGCGAAAGCCGGGGGAGCGAACCGGAUUAGAUACCCGGGUAGUCCCGGCUGUAAACGAUGCGGGCUAGCUGUUGGGCGGGCUUAGAGCCCGCCCAGUGGCGCAGGGAAGCCGUUAAGUCCGCCGCCUGGGGAGUACGGCCGCAAGGCUGAAACUUAAAGGAAUUGGCGGG
rnacentral:rRNA from 1 species